ensembl:lncRNA CEROX1 cytoplasmic endogenous regulator of oxidative phosphorylation 1
CGGACGCGGGGGCCCCGGGCCUUCCGGGCGUGACCUAGGGCUCGGGGGCGGGGAGGCCCCUCCGGCGGGGCGGCCCUGGGUGGUCCGGCAGAGGCGGAGGCCGCUCCGAGCCUGUGAGCCCUGGGCGCCUGCGGAGGCGGGGAGAGGGCGGGGUGUGCCGCCCUGGUGGGGACCGCGGGGUCGGAGAGGGGACAUUGCCCCCCCCGAGGCGAACGUCCAACCGCGGGUCCGGGUCCCCGCCCAAGGCCGCCCCGCGAGGUGGCCUCGGCCCGGCCGUCCCCGAGGGUGGCUCGGAUCCUUUCAACCAGCGCGCUGGAGGCGAAGGGGCUGCGCCAUUCCGGGUCAGGCAGCCAACGCGGGACACGCGCGUCUCCGAGCUUGCGGCCCGCGAAACCCGGGUGACCUACCGCGCCGGUGCCCUCAAAGCCCCCACGCCCGGGCCGGUGGCCGCUGCAGCCACUGAGCCACGCGGUCUCCCCGGCCCGGUCGGCAGAAGGAGCUGGUCCGUUACUAGAAAAGUCCAGAUGCAAAGUCGGGGGUCGUGCUGCCGCUUCCUGCCAGCGCACCGCACCCACCUGGGGCCGCCACCGACCGCACAGGACGCGCCUCCUACCCCCUGUUCUGGCCCGGCCGAGAGCUGGUGCCCCCAGCGGCCGCCCGCCCCCGUCCGCAGACCCCGGGGCCCUUGCUGCUUUGCAUUGGGAACAACCGGAGCCAGGCCCGGAGCUGAGGGGGCCAGGGCCUUUGGAGGAAGCAUUGGCCUCCAGGCUGAAGAGCAAGGGCCGUGUCACCUGCCCGGAGGGCGGUCUCAUCUCUGCAGCCAGGAGCAGUGCUUUCUGGGCCUCUGUAGCCAGAGCUGGCCCUGCUGCAGCUUACGUCUGCCUGCAGCCCAGACGUCCUCCUGGUCCUCCUGAUGCCCCCGACCUCCACGGAGGACGAGCAUUUCCAGCCCAGCCCUCCCCAUCUUCACCUCGCACUCCCCUGACACACUGGGAGCCUCCUGAUCCGUGAACCCGCGCUGGCGGGAGUAGCUACUGACCGCUGGGGACCCCUGCCCAGGCUGUUCGCAUGUGGAAAGGAUUCAGGGAGCAGGCGAUGCCCAAAGCGUGGAGACCAGCACUGCUCUCUCCCCAGUGACAGGUGCACGCCCAGAUCACGGAUGUGUCGGGAACAGCUGUGCUCCUGCUGCUCAGCGUCCGUCACUCCAGGCUGGGAGCGGGUCCCCAAGCUUCUGGCUGGGCCUAUCCGUCUCCACUCUCAGUGUGGGGGUGGGGGGCGCCAACAGCACGCAUUUGCUCUCUGCACUUCUCGUCUGAUAAUGGGCAGAGGGUCCUUCUGCAGCCCCAAAACAUCCCUAGGCAGGAGCCCUGGGGCCCCAAGCAGCCAGGGAGGUGAGCACCAAGGACCUCCCAGAGAGCGUCACCUUCCGUCGAGGGAGGCCCAGCCUGGGGGCGGUGUCUGAGACUUGGAAUCAACGCUUCCGUUGGUGGCAGUAAAUCCUGUCCCUAACCCUGCAGUACAGCUGUGCCGUGUACAGGAGGGUGCUGUCUGACGCCAGACACCUGGACUACAGAUCGCAGCCUGAUUCCUGGUCAUUGCUCCACUGAACCCCAGACCCCAGCCUCGUUCUGGGCCCUCAUCCCCUAGAUCCAGGGACCCCAGCCCCAUUUCAGCCCUUGGGCCCUUGUAGGAUGCGAGGCCCUGGGCCCCAGCCCCCAGCCCAUCCGUGGCCCAGGCACUGGGGGGCUGAGGUCCUCUGAGAAGGGACACAGGGCCUGGGGGGCUCUCUCAGCCCAUCAGCAGGAGAGGACUGACUCCAGAAAAAUCAGCGUUUGUACCCACUCAGGCUGCCAAGACCUGUGUCCGUCCUUCCAAGCUCAACCUUCAGAGUUCAUGAGGCCCCUUGCCCAGAAUGUCCACAGAGUUCAUGAGGCCCCUUGCCCGGAAUGUCCACAUUUGAAACCUCCCAACACCGAGCCCCAUUUCAAGUAUAACCAGGAGGGAAAAUGGUGCUUGAAAUAAGCAUGCCACAAAGGAAAACCUGCUUUCUCGAAAUGGGCCCUGGCCGCCCAGGCCCUGACCUCCCCGGCCAGGAUGGAACGUUCCAGAGACCCAUUAGUGCCAAAGGCAAAUGAAAACACACCC